GUCAUAUAUCAAAUAAAAAAAUGCACAUUUUACAAUCGCUUCAUGGAACAUUUAAGGUACCAUUAUGGAUGCUUAAGUACAAAUGUGUUUGAAAAGGUACUGCCUCAGUGACAGCUUGUGUAUUUUAUUUCUGUGUGCUACAGAAACAUGCCUGAUGGUAUUCCGUGAAAAUUCCCAAUGAAACCCCAGGACAUGGAAUGGCAAUGCGAGCAUGUCUCUAAAGCUGUCAGCUCACAUCUGUGAUACAGCACCUGUCACUGAGGUCAUACAUACAUUCAUUGUGUGUACUGAGCGCGCUCUCAAUGACCUCCUGACAGGUACGAGCGGGAGUUUGGCAGGAGAAAGGAAGAACCCAGAGCCGCAUUACAUCUGGGGUGAUGUGCCCUCUCCGUUGGUACCUGUCUGCCCCCCACACAUCCCAAAGAGCACCAUACAUCUCUCUCAGGAAGGAGUGAUUUUCUCCUCUGGAAGUUCAGGUGUGUCUGGCGAGUGAGGGAGGGAACGGGGAGCAGGAGGUCAGAGGGCACUGGGACAAGGUGGACAAUAUAUCACUGAGAAAAGAAGAAGACGUAUUCAAAUGUGUCCUGAGGCUAAGGAGUCAACAGAUAGGCACUUUUUUUCUUCUUCUUUUUGCAAAUGUCAACACUGGAUAUGUAAUUGUUUAUAAUGUAUGCUAUUAAUAAUUAUACAUACUAAUAUAAAUAAAUAAUUAAUCACACUUUUUUUGCAAUUAAUCAUGAUUAGUCGGAAUUAAAAGACGGAAACUUGUCCUUUUGGCCAUUCAAAUGUAAAAUUAAUGUAAACUCGAGACAAAGAAACUAUUUUAAUUCAAAAU
rnacentral:lncRNA from 1 species